rnacentral:rRNA from 1 species
CCCUUAGAUGUUCUGGGCCGCACGCGCGCAACACUGAUGCAUUCAACGAGUUUCUUCCUGGUCCGAGAGGAAUGGGUAACCUUUUGAAAGUGCAUCGUGAUAGGGAUAGACUAUUGCAAUUAUUGGUCUUCAACGAGGAAUUCCUAGUAGACGUAGUUCAUCAGACUGCAUCGAUUACGUCCCUGCCCUUUGUACACACCGCCCGUCGCUCCUACCGAUUGAAUGCUCAGGUGAGCCAUUCGGACUUUCAUCAUGCUGGUUUCCAGUUUUGAUGAAGGAAAGUCUUGCGAACCUUAUCAUUUAGAGGAAGGAGAAGUCGUAACA